rnacentral:misc_RNA from 1 species
GAUGAAGAACGUAGCGAAAUGCGAUAAGUAAUGUGAAUUGCAGAAUUCAGUGAAUCAUCGAGUCUUUGAACGCACAUUGCGCCCCCUGGUAUUCCGGGGGGCAUGCCUGUCCGAGCGUCAUUGCUGCCCUCAAGCACGGCUUGUGUGUUGGGCCCCCGUCCCCGGUUUCCCCCGGGGACGGGCCCGAAAGGCAGCGGCGGCACCGCGUCCGGUCCUCGAGCGUAUGGGGCUUUGUCACCCGCUCUGUAGGCCCGGCCGGCGCCAGCCGACACCCAACUUUAUUUCUAAGGUUGACCUCGGAUCAGGUAGGGAUACCCGCUGAACUUAAGAAUAUCAAUAAGCGGAGGA